rnacentral:misc_RNA from 1 species
GUCUACCGGAGGACACGAGGCCUUAUUACGGCAAAUAUUUGCGUGAAAACUUCGUUAACUACAGAGAGGUCGACGCCAACGACACUACUGCCCUAGACGAGCUCUUCCGCCGAGCCUACAAUCACUCCCUCUGGGUCCUCAAUAAGUAUUCAGUUGAUGAAUCGGCCGCUAAUAAGCUGAAGGAGAUUUGUUGUGGUUGAAAAGAAAACAAGAAAGAGUACAACUCAGC